AAAUCUAAGAAAGAUCAGCAAAUCUAGGACUAAAAAAAGCACCGCCGCUAAUACACAAAGGCCCUACCCUGUAUCUCGUCUCCUUCACACAUCCCACCCAAGUCGCCUAUCUCACACCACCCCCGUUCAUAAACUCACUGGAAUUAGCCGCAUCCUAUAAAAAACAGAGAAGAUCUGAGGAGCCCGGGAUUUCCUUCUUCUUCAGAAGAACAACUAGCCAUCUCCACCUAUCUUCUUCAGUCGUCAACACACCCAAAAGACCGCCAAUAUCGUCGCUCCUCCCAGCCAACCCACCCCGACGACCAUCUCCAAAACCAACCGACCACCAUACUGUACACACAAAGAGUCAAUAAACAAAAUAGGAAGAAUAUCAAAGAUGUAUCUACUGCCUCUCCAUUCCAAUUUUUAUUUCUCAAAGAUUAAGAAAACAGAAAUAAAAUUACAAACGCAAGUAUUUUGGUGCUUCCUUUUCUCAGUUUCUAUUUUCGUUCUCAAUUUAUGGAUUUUGCUUGAGUAAAAUUGGGCCGUUGUCAUUCGAGGUCAUGUUCGUGGUUCCAAAUCCAACUUUAUUAUUAUCUUGCUCGUUCACUGCUGGACGUUAGAAGUUAAAACUACGAUUCUGGAUUUGCUUGUAAUUGCCUCUGAAUGACAGUAGUGAAAAGCUUUUGUUCAUGUCCAUUUCUAAUUCUCUCUUAAAUUAUUUUGGUGUGAUUAGAAUAUGAUAAGAGCCCUAUUUUAUUAGCGUUUGUGGUUUGUUUAAAAGUCAGUUUAGAUGAAGCUAAGCAGGACGUAAUUUAAGAGAGUGCUUGGUGAUGUACAUAGAUCUUCAAGUAUUCUGAUGAACACCUAUAGCUUGGAUCUACCUUGUUUUAAGGUGAAUUAUUAGAGUUUAAUCGACUUUAUGUUGGAUUCUUGAGUUUUAUGACUGGCGCUUCAUUGGUAUUCUUCUAAAAAGGUCGUGUUUAUGUUUUUCUACAAUUGGACGUGAAACUAGCGAUUGGCGAGCUUGAUACUAUCUGUUAGCAUGUCUAUCAAUUAAACUUGACGAUCUUAGGUUCUUCAAGCAUUUUAUAUGCAUUGAUAAGUUCAGUUGCCAUUUCCUCCUUUAUGUGAGUUAACUGUCAUUUUAGUGAAUUCGAGUAUAUUGUUACAUGUUGGAAAGUUUUAAUGCUUGUCCUUUGUUUGAAUGUUCACUGUCGGGUUUCAAUACUUGUCCGUUGAUCCAUCUUGACUUUAUUAGUUCGAAUUCAUUAUCUUAAUCACUUAGUGUUACUUGGAAAGCUUGAGUUUAUUCAGGGGAGUUUGUCUAUCUUGUUUGAAUUGAAAAAACCACCCAUAUGUGUACAUCUUUU
rnacentral:lncRNA from 1 species